rnacentral:lncRNA from 1 species
ACCUGGUUAAAUAAAGGAUAAAUAAAUAUAUAUAUAUAAUAACAGUGCAGUGAUAUUUUGACGUUGAGAGCUCUUUCCCAACAACGCAGUGAUUAUUAUACUAUACAUGAUGAUAGAAAAUAUAAUACAAAAUUAAAGGAAGAAUAAAAACCACACUAUUAUGUGACUUAAUGAAACAUGAGAAUGCAAGUAUAUACAGGUAAGUGUCAGUACUUUAUUCAAUGUCCAGGGGUACUGGAGUGGUUGUAUAUACAGGUCAGUAUCUUAUUCAAUGUCCAGGGGUCCUGGAGUGGUUGUAUAUACAGGUCAGUACCUUAUUCAAUGUUCAGGGGUCCUGGAGUUGUUGUAUAUACAGGUCAGUACCAGUACCUUAUUCAAUGUCCAGGGGUACUGGAGAAUUGAGGUGGGUUAAUACUUAAAAGUCAGGUCUCGUGUGGC